UACAGAGGUCCCAAGCAUUGUUCGGAUUCACUGGGCGUAAAGGGUGCGUAGGUGGUUAGGUAAGUCCGAUGUGAAAUCUCCAGGCUCAACCUGGAAAUGGCAUUGGAUACUAUUUAGCUUGAGGAGUGGAGGGGGGACUGGAAUUCUCGGUGUAGCAGUGAAAUGCGUAGAUAUCGAGAGGAACACCAGUGGCGAAGGCGAGUCCCUGGACACUUCCUGACACUGAGGCACGAAAGCUAGGGGAGCAAACAGG
rnacentral:rRNA from 1 species